rnacentral:rRNA from 1 species
CCUACGGGAGGCAGCAGUGAGGAAUAUUGGUCAAUGGACGGAAGUCUGAACCAGCCAUGCCGCGUGCAGGAAGACGGCUCUAUGAGUUGUAAACUGCUUUUGUACAAGGGUAAACCUGAAUACGUGUAUUCAGCUGAAAGUACUGUACGAAUAAGGAUCGGCUAACUCCGUGCCAGCAGCCGCGGUAAUACGGAGGAUCCAAGCGUUAUCCGGAUUUAUUGGGUUUAAAGGGUGCGUAGGCGGAUUGAUAAGUUGGAGGUGAAAGGUCCGAGCUUAACUCGGGAACUGCCUCUAAUACUGUUGAUCUAGAGAGUAGAUGCGGUAGGCGGAAUGUAUGGUGUAGCGGUGAAAUGCUUAGAGAUCAUACAGAACACCGAUUGCGAAGGCAGCUUACCAAUCUAUAUCUGACGUUGAGGCACGAAAGCGUGGGGAGCAAACAGGAUUAGAUACCCGAGUAGUC